rnacentral:tRNA from 1 species
GCGAGGGUGGCGGAACGGCAGACGCACUAGCUUGAGGGGCUAGCGGUUGAGAAACCGUAGGGGUUCAAAUCCCCUCCCUCGCACCA